rnacentral:rRNA from 1 species
GGCGUCCGAGUUGUAAUUUGUAGAGGAUGCUAUUGGGUUGCCACCGGUCCAAGUUCCUUGGAACAGGACGUCACAGAGGGUGAGAAUCCCGUAUGUGACCGGCCAGGCGCCUUCUGUAUAGCUCCUUCGACGAGUCGGGUUGUUUGGGAAUGCAGCCCUAAAUGGGAGGUAAAUUUCUUCUAAAGCUAAAUACCGGCCAGAGACCGAUAGCGCACAAGUAGAGUGAUCGAAAGAUGAAAAGCACUUUGGAAAGAGAGUUAAAAAGCACGUGAAAUUGUUGAAAGGGAAGCGCUUGCAAUUAGUCUCGACGGCGGCUGUUCGGCCUCUCUUCUGAGUGGUUUAUUCAGUCGCCGCCGGGCCAGCAUCAGUUUUGGCGGCCGGAUAAAGGCGUGGGGAAUGUAGCUCCUCCGGGAGUGUUAUAGCCCCGCGUGUAAUACGGCCCGCCGGGACUGAGGUCCGCGCUUCGGCUAGGAUGCUGGCGAAAUGGUUGUAAGCGGCCCGUCUUGAAACACGGACCAAGGAGUCUAACAUCUACGCGAGUGUUUGGGUGUCAAACCCGUGCGCGCAAUGAAAGUGAACGGAGGUGGGAACCGCAAGGUGCACCAUCGACCGAUCCUGAUGUCUUCGGAUGGAUUUGAGUAAGAGCGUAGCUGUUGGGACCCGAAAGAUGGUGAACUAUGCCUGAAUAGGGUGAAGCCAGAGGAAACUCUGGUGGAGGCUCGCAGCGGUUCUGACG